GCAGAGACUGGGGGUGCAGAGCAGAAGGGGGAGCUGUCAGCCUUCCCAGUCCUUCUGACAAAUCCUCACUGAAUAUGCAACUUCUUCACGAGCCCAGUGCAGUGAUCAGGGUUUGUGCAGCUCCUGGAGAACUAAAUGUUCCAGGGUUAGGGUUUCCCCUGAAAGCAGGUGCUGCAUACACCGCCAGCUGCACGCAUGUUCGCACACAAAGCAUUGCAAACAGGGGAUCUCCUUGCCACGGGGACCGGUGGAGAACAAGUGUGUUAACAGGCUUGAAACCGGAUCAGACACACCGAGAAACAUUAGAUCCUGCGGUGCCUAACGUUACGAUCCAGCGUGAUCCACUGUGGAAGCUGACAAAGCUUGGCCCUGGAGGUGCACAGCCCGGCGGGUGAGCUGCAGAUGGGGAGAGCCCAAAAAGGACCCAGAGAAAUUACAGAAGCGAUGUCCUGCCCCCAGAGAGCCUUCCAGCUGCUGCCGCCUCCUCAGCUGCUGCCUAACAGCAAGCAGCAAGGUCUGGGGGAGCCGGGGAGAGGGAGGGGAAGCUCUCCCUGCCCCUAGCACCCAGUUCAUACAGCCGAGCCUGGCUCAGGGGGAGCCCUAGAGAAAUGCUGUACGAGCACAGAAUAAAGCAAAACACCACCCUGCCCAUUUGCAGCCCCCAAUACUGCAGUGCCCCAUCGCCAGGCUUGGGGCUGUACCCACACAGAGCCAGAACGGAGUCCCGAGGUGGGAGAGCAGGGAUGCCCAUCUUCUUCGGGCUCUCCUGAAGCUUCCCCGGGGACUGACUGAGCCUAAUGGCAGCGAGCAAUAAUUACUACUGCUUAAUCAGGACUGUUUGAGGAUAAAUUCUAUUUAAUGAGGAUCCGUUUUGCAUGCACCAGGUAAUUAAAGAAUGUUUAAGCAGGAAAAGAGGUGCGAGAUUCUCAGCACCGCUCUCUGGCGGGAUGGAGCAAAAUAAAGCCAAAUGUGGAUUUGGCCAAGUGUUUCCAUCAGGCAGAAGUGCCCAGAAGGGGUGAAAAAUGAACCCCUCAGCACCCUCUGCUACUGCACCUCCCCAGGAUGGUGCUGGGUGUCACCCCCAAAACCCACAGCCCACCCUAUUGCAAUACCCCCACACUGUGGUGCCUCCCUUCCUUUCCCUUUCCCCUCCUUGCCGAUGCCAGCAGUGGUAGCUGCUGACAGAAGACGGGAAAAGCUUCAGGGAAAGCAAUGGCUUAAAUGAUACACCCACAAAAAAUAUCACGUUUGGAUUUUGCUCGUGCUUAGAGCCCUUUCCUCCUCUCCUGGCACUGCCCGUCUGAGCAUCCCGCACGUCUCCAGAGGCAGCACGUUACGAGCACAGAAAUAGCCGUGUGGGAAUGAGGCACGGCUCAAAUAACUUUAAUUCCUAUCAGCUCACACUCCUCAGCAAUCCCCCGAGGCUCUCACCCUCCAGCAGCAAAUACCUCCGGAGGGCAGCUCACACCAGCUACCAGUUGGUAGCCGAGGGAGUGGAUGAGACCCCCGGAUGUGGCUGUUCCUCUGCCAUCCCAACCAAAUGACCACUUUAGAUAAGAUACCCAGAGAGAAAUGCCCCUCACCUAAGUCUAAAAGCCUGCACUGUGGUGCUAGCACUCUAGACUCUCUUUAUAGCCGACGGAGAAUGAGCUACCUCGACAUGUGACUCGCGGGAUCUCUUUUAGACAUAUUUUUCAGGAUGAGAUGUGCUUACGCAUCAGAAGUGCUUAUUUCUCUUCACUGCCUAUAAAGGAGCCGGUAUGACUAGCUCAGCUGUUGACGUGUGCACUGUAGGAAUCUAAAUUUGGGCAGAUGAAUCCCGUUUCCAACUUUCCGACUGCUGAAGUUAGGUAACAUGAGUUCCACUGUGGGCAUGUGCUAAAUAUUUGAAUAUAUGCUAUUUUUUAAUUCACCCCCUCUUUGCAAGACGACCGCAUCAGUAGGGCUAUCUGUGGGAAGAGGAAACACAGUGUGUCAAUAAAACUAGAAGACAUCUAAAUUUCAUACUUUUUUUUUUCUAGCACUGAUUACCAUGAGAGCUACAGCAGCUUUCUUAGUCCCUCUGCAUUUUAAGUUUUACCAUUAUUUGAUUUUCAAGUGUUAGCUUACAUUUCAACUCCUGAAUGUACAAUGAUUUUGAGAACUGUGCCACCCUGUUUUGCCUCAUAUUCUUAUAUGAACACGUAAUUUUGUGUCCAGAUUCCUUAUGUUUUGAGUGUUUUGGCUUUAUUUUUCCCCCUCCACUGGGAUUUGCUGUGCAUUUCUUUCAUAAAUCUGAACUCUCAAACCCGAAGGAUGAUCCUAGUCUCCAGUAUCAGAGCCGCAC
rnacentral:lncRNA from 1 species